rnacentral:rRNA from 1 species
GACGAACGCUGGCGGCGUGCUUAACACAUGCAAGUCGAACGAAGUGGCGAACGGGUGAGUAACGCGUAAUCAAUAUGCCCUCCAGAGGGGGACAACAGUUGGAAACGACUUCUAAUACCGCAUACCCAAGGCGGGGAUUGCGUCUGAUUAGCUAGUUGGAGGGGUAACGGCCCACCAAGGCGAUGAUCAGUAGCCGGUCUUAGAGGAGGAACGGCCACAUUGGGACUGAGACACGGCCCAGACUCCUACGGGAGGCAGCAGGGGGGAAUCUUCCGCAAUGGACGAAAGUCUGACGGAGCAACGCCGCGUAAGUGAUGACGGCCUUCGGGUUGUAAAGCUCUGUUAAUCGGGACGCGGUACCGGAAUAGAAAGCCACGGCUAACUACGUGCCAGCAGCCGCGGUAAUUC